rnacentral:lncRNA from 1 species
GCCUUUCCACGUUGCACAAGCCCAGCACAGUGUACCCACUGGAUGUGCCCGAGGCCUCCAGAGGAAAGGAAAGGAGGAAAAGGGACAGAAGAAAUGUUCACAGGAACUGCAUAUGGGCCUGCUACUUGUGUCAAAAUGUGACUGAACUCUCUUCCAGCAGUGUGAAUCCCUGGAAGGCAAGAUCGCCAUUCUGGUCUCUUGUGGAUAUCAAUGCUGAUCUCAGCUUCUGAUGCACGGCAGUCAAUUAAUAAAUGAUUGUUGCCUGAAAAACUGAGCCCCAAAACAAUAUUACAAGUUUAAUAUCAGUAAAGGAUUUAAUGCUUUCUAACAUGAAGAUACCAGAAGUUGCUGAUUUUUGUAUAACCCAGAGAUGGAUUUAAAUGCAGAGUGUAUGAACUUCUUCAUUCCUGAGGGAGGACUUAUGAUUUCAUGAGAAAUGCCCCAGGAAAGGGGCCGGGGAGACUGAUGGAGAAGAAGAGUUUGGGAGGGAAGCCCCAGUGACCAUCUGCCCCAUCAGGGUCACAUGCAGAGGGUCCUGCUCCUGCCGUUGGAAGUUGGCUUCCUGAGCUGCUGAACGUGCCAGUCCUGCUGACCCACUCUCAGAUAUCACAGGCACCCGCUGUGUCUGAAAGAGACCUUUCUGCAAGUACACGUGCAGGUCUGCUCUGCAAAGGCGUUAUCAUCUGCAGAUUAUUGCACAGAGUGGCUACGAGCUGUGGUGUGAUCCUGUCACAGAGAGAGCCUGGUCACGUUUUCAGAACAGCAGGAAACAGGUACACCUGUAAGCUUAUACUUAUCAGAUUUAAAGAUAAAACAAAAAAUCCAUGCUAUUCCAUGAAAAUCGGACUCAAAUAAACUUAGUCACUGAUCUGUGAAGUAAAUAAUCUGAUGGUAAUGCAUCAGUUGACACUUGGGCCUGGGUUUUUAGGCACUAAUGAAAGCCGGGGCAAAAUAAUUUUUAAUCUACCAUUAUUUCCCUUGAUGGUUCAACAAAAGUUCUUGUACUAGAAAGUUUUAUAAAACUACUUUCUCAGUGUCCUGUGACAUUUCUCUGAUGAUAGAAAAAGUCAAUAUUUGAUAGCUUAAAUAUCAAUAUUGACAGAAAUAUGAUUAUUUAAAUAAAAACACAAAUAGUAAAAUAAUUUUAUAUGAUA